rnacentral:rRNA from 1 species
GAUGAACGCUGGCGGCGUGCCUAAUACAUGCAAGUCGAGCGAACAGAUGAGGAGCUUGCUCCUCUGACGUUAGCGGCGGACGGGUGAGUAACACGUGGAUAACCUACCUAUAAGACUGGGAUAACUUCGGGAAACCGGAGCUAAUACCGGAUAAUAUAUUGAACCGCAUGGUUCAAUAGUGAAAGACGGUUUUGCUGUCACUUAUAGAUGGAUCCGCGCCGCAUUAGCUAGUUGGUAGGGUAACGGCUUACCAAGGCAACGAUGCGUAGCCGACGUGAGAGGGUGGUCGGCCACACUGGAACUGAGACACGGUCCAGACGCCUACGGGAGGCAGCAGUAGGGAAUCUUCCGCAAUGGGCGAAAGCCUGACGGAGCAACGCCGCGUGAGUGAUGAAGGUCUUCGGAUCGUAAAACUCUGUUAUUAGGGAAGAACAAAUGUGUAAGUAACUAUGCACGUCUUGACGGUACCUAAUCAGAAAGCCACGGCUAACUACGUG